AUACUUACCUGGCAGGGGGAGUACCAUGAUCACAAGGGUGGUUUUCCCAGGGCGAGGCUUAUCCAUUGCACUCCGGAUGUGCUGACCCCUGUGAUUUCCCCAAAUGUGGGGAAUGUGCAUUAUUUGUGGUAGUGAAGGACUGCAUUCGCGCUCUCCCCUG